rnacentral:tRNA from 1 species
GAAAUGGCUCAACUUGGUAGAGCACUUGGUUUGGGACCAAGGGGUUGCAGGUUCAAAUCCUGUUUUC